rnacentral:rRNA from 1 species
CCUACGGGUGGCUGCAGUGAGGAAUAUUGGUCAAUGGCCGGAAGGCUGAACCAGCCAAGCCGCGUGAAGGACGAAGGUGCCAAGCAUUGUAAACUUCUUUUGUCAAGGGACAAAAUCAGGCUCGAGAGCCUGACCGAGGGUACUUUACGAAAAAGCAUCGGCUAACUCCGUGCCAGCAGCCGCGGUAAUACGGAGGAGUCGAGCGUUAUCCGGAUUUAUUGGGUUUAAAGGGUGCGUAGGCGGACUGUUAAGUCAGCGGGGAAAACCCGGGGCUCAACCCCGGGCGAGACGUUGAAACUGGCUGUCUUGAGAUGUCGAGAGGUAUGCGGAAUGCGCGGUGUAGCGGUGAAAUGCUUAGAGAUUGCGCAGAACUCCGAUUGCGAAGGCAGCAUACCGGCGGCGAUCUGACGCUGAGGCACGAAAGCGUGGGUAGCGAACAGGAUUAGAUACCCCUGUAGUC